AUCUUUACUUUAGUUUAAAAUGAGCAGCGAUAAGAAAUCAAGCAAAAUACUGUACAGAGGGAAAAGAACCCAUAUACACAGAAUAUGGUCACUAAUAUAAAUCUUUAAUCAGAAGUAAAUAAUAAAGGCGGUAACAAUCCAGAAUCCAAUCAGCUGUUAUGGUAAAUGAGUUAACCGUGGGUCAAUUCUCACAGGUUUAAACAUAAAUUUCCCUAGUAUUAACGAAAGAAAGCAAGAAGAACCUGUCACUAAUUUUUCGUUUCCAUUAUUGCAAGAUUCACAGAUUUUCUUCAAUUCUUCUAAACUUCUAUAUAUAUCACUCCACAAAUUCCCCC
rnacentral:lncRNA from 1 species